AAGCACAUCAAGCCCUCAGAGAUAAGUUAAGAGGCACGAUCAGAGAGAAGCAAAAUAAGCCGUGCAACAGGGCAGAGCAGCUGAAGUCUCACAGGCAUGGACAAACAGAAGGAAAGUACUUUGUAAGUCCCAGAAAAAGUGUAUGAUGGUGGUGGUACCAGGAAAUGUACAGUAGGGGAAAAAGCAAAACAAGCAAUGUGACGAUAACAAGGAUUUACUAGAGAGCAGGAAACUUCCACCACCAUUUUCCCUCCCCAUUCCAGCAACUGUCCCGAGAUAUCUGGGCACACGUCACGCGGCCGGAGCUGUGGCUGUGUGAAGUUGUCUCCGGACACUGGACAAGGCUUUCACCUGGUCGUGCAUAAAAGCCUUGAGGCAUCAGAUGGUCUCCUGCCUGCCCUGUGUACCAUAUAAACUGUGAGGAAGCAAAUCAGUAAGCUGCCAAACUUUUGGAAGAAGACACCUCUCCUGUCUCCUCCAGAGCUCUCCGACUAGGCUAUGAUGAGAACUUCAGCACCAACAGUCACAGUGAGAUUCCACCUCAAUUGGCUCUUACCUCCAGAAGACAGCAGAAAAGCCACCUUUCUCCAGGAGCGGUCCGGGUCCUGGAAAGGCUGGAGCCGCAUCAAGCAGGCUGGGACAUAUUCAAGCACGUCACUGAGACCAACAGGCAGCAGCAAGAGCUGCAGCGGCAGCCGCCCUGAGGCCUGGCACCAAGACGUCUUGCCCCGAGGGGGGAAUACCUGUUUGGGACAGCCAAGGUCUCGCCCCACCUGACUCAGCCCCAGGCUGAUCCGCUGCACGGAAGGCAGAAGGGGCAGUAUGGAAGAGGAGCAACACAGUAACUGAGCUCUUGGGAACCUACUUGCAGAAGCCCCUCGCCGCUCCCGGCCCACCCGU